rnacentral:rRNA from 4 species
GAGUUUGAUCCUGGCUCAGGAUGAACGCUAGCUACAGGCUUAACACAUGCAAGUCGAGGGGCAUCAGGAAGAAAGCUUGCUUUCUUUGCCGGCGACCGGCGCACGGGUGAGUAACACGUAUCCAACCUGCCCUUUACUCGGGGAUAGCCUUUCGAAAGAAAGAUUAAUACCCGAUGGCAUAAUGAUUCCGCAUGGUUUCAUUAUUAAAGGAUUCCGGUAAAGGAUGGGGAUGCGUUCCAUUAGGUUGUUGGUGAGGUAACGGCCCACCAAGCCUUCGAUGGAUAGGGGUUCUGAGAGGAAGGUCCCCCACAUUGGAACUGAGACACGGUCCAAACUCCUACGGGAGGCAGCAGUGAGGAAUAUUGGUCAAUGGGCGCUAGCCUGAACCAGCCAAGUAGCGUGAAGGAUGAAGGCUCUAUGGGUCGUAAACUUCUUUUAUAUAAGAAUAAAGUGCAGUAUGUAUACUGUUUUGUAUGUAUUAUAUGAAUAAGGAUCGGCUAACUCCGUGCCAGCAGCCGCGGUAAUACGGAGGAUCCGAGCGUUAUCCGGAUUUAUUGGGUUUAAAGGGAGCGUAGGUGGACUGGUAAGUCAGUUGUGAAAGUUUGCGGCUCAACCGUAAAAUUGCAGUUGAUACUGUCAGUCUUGAGUACAGUAGAGGUGGGCGGAAUUCGUGGUGUAGCGGUGAAAUGCUUAGAUAUCACGAAGAACUCCGAUUGCGAAGGCAGCUCACUGGACUGCAACUGACACUGAUGCUCGAAAGUGUGGGUAUCAAACAGGAUUAGAUACCCUGGUAGUCCACACAGUAAACGAUGAAUACUCGCUGUUUGCGAUAUACAGUAAGCGGCCAAGCGAAAGCAUUAAGUAUUCCACCUGGGGAGUACGCCGGCAACGGUGAAACUCAAAGGAAUUGACGGGGGCCCGCACAAGCGGAGGAACAUGUGGUUUAAUUCGAUGAUACGCGAGGAACCUUACCCGGGCUUAAAUUGCAGUGGAAUGAUGUGGAAACAUGUCAGUGAGCAAUCACCGCUGUGAAGGUGCUGCAUGGUUGUCGUCAGCUCGUGCCGUGAGGUGUCGGCUUAAGUGCCAUAACGAGCGCAACCCUUAUCUUUAGUUACUAACAGGUUAUGCUGAGGACUCUAGAGAGACUGCCGUCGUAAGAUGUGAGGAAGGUGGGGAUGACGUCAAAUCAGCACGGCCCUUACGUCCGGGGCUACACACGUGUUACAAUGGGGGGUACAGAAGGCAGCUAGCGGGUGACCGUAUGCUAAUCCCAAAAGCCUCUCUCAGUUCGGAUCGAAGUCUGCAACCCGACUUCGUGAAGCUGGAUUCGCUAGUAAUCGCGCAUCAGCCACGGCGCGGUGAAUACGUUCCCGGGCCUUGUACACACCGCCCGUCAAGCCAUGGGAGCCGGGGGUACCUGAAGUACGUAACCGCAAGGAUCGUCCUAGGGUAAAACUGGUGACUGGGGCUAAGUCGUAACAAGGUAGCCGUACCGGAAGGUGCGGCUGGAACACC